rnacentral:rRNA from 1 species
CCCUUAGAUGUUCUGGGCUGCACGCGUGCUACACUGAUAUUGCCAAUAUGUCAUUCUUAUCCGAAAUGGAUUGGGUAAUCAGGUAAUGAAAUUUCAUGCUUGGAAUCGGUAAUUGCAAUUUUAUCGUGAACGAGGAAUUCCUAGUAAGCACUAGUCAUCAGCUAAUGUUGAUUAUGUCCCUGCCCUUUGUACACACCGCCCGUCGCUACUACUGAUUGGGUGUUCAAGUGAGAUGCUUAGACCCUUGUUGCAUGGUUCAUUAUUGUGCUCCGAAAGGAAAAAGUUUCAAGCUUGAGUGUCUAGAGGAAGUAAAAGUCGUAACA